rnacentral:rRNA from 1 species
GUCCACACCUUAACGAUGAAUACUUGGUGUCGGGUCGUAAGGCUCGGUGCCAAAGCUAACGCAUUAAGUAUUCCACCUGGGGAGUACGAUCGCAAGGUUGAAACUCAAAGGAAUUGACGGGGCCCGCACAAGCAGUGGAGCAUGUGGUUCAAUUCGAUGCAACGCGAAGAACCUUACCUGGGUUUGAAAAGCAAGAUUCUAGUCCCUGAAAGGGGAUUACCCGCAAGGGGUCUUGUACAGGUGCUGCAUGGCUGUCGU